rnacentral:rRNA from 1 species
AUUGAACGCUGGCGGCAUGCUUUACACAUGCAAGUCGAACGGCAGCGCGGGCUUCGGCCUGGCGGCGAGUGGCGAACGGGUGAGUAAUGCAUCGGAACGUGCCCAGUAGUGGGGGAUAGCCCGGCGAAAGCCGGAUUAAUACCGCAUACGACCUGAGGGUGAAAGCGGGGGACCGAAAGGCCUCGCGCUAUUGGAGCGGCCGAUGUCGGAUUAGCUAGUUGGUGGGGUAAAGGCUUACCAAGGCGACGAUCCGUAGCUGGUCUGAGAGGACGACCAGCCACACUGGGACUGAGACACGGCCCAGACUCCUACGGGAGGCCGCAGUGGGGAAUUUUGGACAAUGGGGGCAACCCUUAUCCAGCCAUGCCGCGUGCGGGAAGAAGGCCUUCGGGUUGUAAACCGCUUUUGUUCGGGAAGAAAUCCUCUGGGCUAAUACCCCGGGGGGAUGACGGUACCGGAAGAAUAAGCACCGGCUAACUACGUG